rnacentral:rRNA from 1 species
UAUUGGGCAAUGGAGGCAACUCUUACCCAGCAAUGCCGCGUGAAUGAAGAAGGUCUUCGGAUUGUAAAGUUCUUUAAUUGGGGACGAAAAAAAAUGACGGUACCCAAGGAAUAAGCCCCGGCUAACUACGUGCCAGCAGCCGCGGUAAUACGUAGGGGGCAAGCGUUGUUCGGAAUGACUGGGCGUAAAGGGUGUGUAGGCGGUGUAGCAAGUUAGAAGUGAAAUACCUAGAGCUUAACUCAGGUGCUGCUUCUAAAACUGCUAUACUUGAGUGCAGUAGAGGAAAGUGGAAUUCCUAGUGUAGCGGUGGAAUGCGUAGAUAUUAGGAGGAACAUCAGUGGCGAAGGCGACUUUCUGGACUGUAACUGACGCUGAGGCACGAAAGUGUGGGGAGCAAACAGG